rnacentral:rRNA from 1 species
AACGAACGCUGGCGGCAGGCCUAACACAUGCAAGUCGAACGCCGUAGCAAUACGGAGUGGCAGACGGGUGAGUAACGCGUGGGAACAUACCCCUCGGUUCGGAAUAACUCAGGGAGACUUGAGCUAAUACCGGAUACGUCCGAGGUUUUAAUCGACCUUGGAGAAAGAUUUAUCGCCGGAGGAUUGGCCCGCGUCUGAUUAGCUUGUUGGUGAGGUAAUGGCUCACCAAGGCGACGAUCAGUAGCUGGUCUGAGAGGAUGAUCAGCCACAUUGGGACUGAGACACGGCCCAAACUCCGUACGGGAGGCAGCAGGUGGGGAAUAUUGGACAAUGGGCGAAAGCCUGAUCCAGCCAUGCCGCGUGAGUGAUGAAGGCCUUAGGGUUGUAAAGCUCGUUUGCCCGGGAAGAUAAUGACGGUACCGGGAGAAUAAGCCCCGGCUAACUUCGUGCCAGCCGCCGC